GGUUAAGCGACUAAGCGUACACGGUGGAUGCCCUGGCAGUCAGAGGCGAUGAAGGGCGUGCUAAUCUGCGAUAAGCGCCGGUAAGGUGAUAUGAACCGUUAUAACCGGCGAUACCCGAAUGGGGAAACCCAGUGUGACUCGUCACACUAUCAUUAACUGAAUCCAUAGGUUAAUGAGGCGAACCGGGGGAACUGAAACAUCUAAGUACCCCGAGGAAAAGAAAUCAACCGAGAUUCCCCCAGUAGCGGCGAGCGAACGGGGAGGAGCCCAGAGCCUGAAUCAGCAUGUGUGUUAGUGGAAGCGUCUGGAAAGGCGCGCGAUACAGGGUGACAGCCCCGUACACAAAAGCGCAUGUGCUGUGAGCUCGAUGAGUAGGGCGGGACACGUGGUAUCCUGUCUGAAUAUGGGGGGACCAUCCUCCAAGGCUAAAUACUCCUGACUGACCGAUAGUGAACCAGUACCGUGAGGGAAAGGCGAAAAGAACCCCGGCGAGGGGAGUGAAAAAGAACCUGAAACCGUGUACGUACAA
rnacentral:rRNA from 2 species